rnacentral:rRNA from 1 species
GAUGAACGCUAGCGGCAGGCCUAACACAUGCAAGUCGAGGGGUAGCAGGAUUAAGCUUGCUUAAUUGCUGACGACCGGCGCACGGGUGCGUAACGCGUAUGCAACCUACCUUAUACUGGGGUAUAGCCCGGAGAAAUUCGGAUUAAUCCCCCAUAGUACUAAUGAAUCGCAUGGUUUAUUAGUUAAAGCAUUGCGGUAUAAGAUGGGCAUGCGUCCUAUUAGCUAGAUGGUGAGGUGACGGGUCACCAUGGCUACGAUAGGUAGGGGGCCUGGGAGGGUGGUCCCCCACACUGAUACUGAGACACGGACCAGACUCCUACGGGAGGCAGCAGUGAGGAAUAUUGGUCAAUGGGCGCAAGCCUGAACCAGCCAUGCCGCGUGCAGGAAGAAUGCCCUAUGGGUUGUAAACUGCUUUUAUUUGGGAAUAAACCUCUUUACGUGUAGAGAGCUGAAGGUACCAAAUGAAUAAGCACCGGCUAACUCCGUGCCAGCAGCCGCAGUAA